ACCUGUUUGGCUCAGUCGGUUGAGCUUCUGCCUUCAGCCCAGGUCAUGAUCUCAUGGUACGUGGGUUCAAGCCCCACAAUGGGCU
rnacentral:tRNA from 1 species